GGGUAACGGGGAAUCAGGGUUCGAUUCCGGAGAGGGAGCCUGAGAAAUGGCUACCACAUCCAAGGAUGGCAGCAGGCGCGCAAAUUACCCACUCCCAGCUUGGGGAGGUAGUGACGAAAAAUAACAAUGCGGGACUCUAAGAGGCCCCGUAAUUGGAAUGAGUACACCUUAAAUCGUUUAACGAGUAUCAAUUGGAGGGCAAGUCUGGUGCCAGCAGCCGCGGUAAUUCCAGCUCCAAUAGCGUAUAUUAAAGUUGCUGCAGUUAAAAAGCUCGUAGUUGGAUCUGGGGCUUGAGGUCGCUGUCUAUCGUUUCGGCGAUGACGGUGAUGCUCAGCUCUGCUUGCCGGUGACUGUUGCGGUGUUCUUCACUGAGCGCUGUAGCAGCACGGCACGUUUACUUUGAAAAAAUUAGAGUGCUCAAAGCGUGCUUGUCGCUUGAAUAAUGUUGCAUGGAAUAAUGGAAUAGGACCUCGGUUCUAUUUUGUUGGUUUUCGGAGCUUGAGGUAAUGAUUAAGAGGGACGAACGGGGGCAUUCGUAUUGCGGUGUUAGAGGUGAAAUUCUUGGAUCGCCGCAAGACGGACUACUGCGAAAGCAUUUGCCAAGAACGCUUUCAUUAAUUAAGAACGAAAGUCAGAGGUUCGAAGACGAUCAGACACCGUCCUAGUUCUGACCAUAAACGAUGCCGACCAGCGAUCCGUAGUGGUUGCUUUAUGGACCCUACGGGCAGCCUCCGGGAAACCAAAGUAUUUGGGUUCCGGGGGAAGUAUGGUUGCAAAGCUGAAACUUAAAGGAAUUGACGGAAGGGCACACCAGGAGUGGAGCCUGCGGCUUAAUUUGACCCAACACGGGAAAACACACCCGGUCCGGACACCGUAAGGAUUGACAGACUGAUAGCUCUUUCUUGAUUCGGUGGAUGGUGGUGCAUGGCCGUUCUUAGUUGGUGGAGUGAUUUGUCUGGUUAAUUCCGAUAACGAACGGGACUCUAGCCUGCUAAGUAGUGUUGCUAUUGUUAUAUGGUUGACACUUCUUAGAGGGACAAGUGGCAUUUAGCCACGCGAAAUUGAGCAAUAACAGGUCUGUGAUGCCCUUAGAUGUCCGGGGCCGCACGCGCGCUACACUGGAGAAGUCAGCGUGUGUUAUCCAAGUCCGAAAGGACUGGGUAAUCCGUUGAACCUUCUUCGUGCUUGGGACUGUGGCUUGGAACUAUUCCACAUGAACGAGGAAUUCCUAGUAAUUGCAAGUCAUAAGCUUGCGUUGAUUACGUCCCUGCCCUUUGUACACACCGCCCGUCGCUACUACCGAUUGAAUGGUUUAGCAAGGUCCUCGGAUCGUGGCCGUAGGGGCACGCAAGUGUUUCUGCGGUUUGCGAGAAGACGACCAAACUUGAUCAUUUAGAGGAAGUAAAAGUCGUAACAAGGUU
rnacentral:rRNA from 1 species